rnacentral:rRNA from 1 species
AACGAACGCUGGCGGCAUGCCUAACACAUGCAAGUCGAACGAGACCUUCGGGUCUAGUGGCGCGCGGGUGCGUAACGCGUGGGAACCUGCCCUUAGGUUCGGAAUAACUCCCCGAAAGGGGUGCUAAUACCGGAUAAUGUCUUCGGACCAAAGAUUUAUCGCCUUUGGAUGGGCCCGCGUUGGAUUAGCUAGUUGGUAGGGUAAAAGCCUACCAAGGCGACGAUCCAUAGCUGGUCUGAGAGGAUGAUCAGCCACACUGGGACUGAGACACGGCCCAGACUCCUACGGGAGGCAGCAGUGGGGAAUAUUGGACAAUGGGCGAAAGCCUGAUCCAGCAAUGCCGCGUGAGUGAUGAAGGCCUUAGGGUUGUAAAGCUCUUUUACCCGUGAUGAUAAUGACAGUACCGUGAGAAUAAGCACCGGCUAACUCCGUG